rnacentral:rRNA from 1 species
AGCGAACGCUGGCGGCAGGCUUAACACAUACAAGUCGAACGGGCACCUUCGGGUGUCAGUGGCAGACGGGUGAGUAACACGUGGGAACGUACCCUUUGGUUCGGAACAACUCUGGGAAACUGGAGCUAAUACCGGAUACGCCCUUUUGGGGAAAGGUUUAUCCGCCGAAGGAUCGGCCCGCGUCUGAUUAGCUAGUUGGUGGGGUAACGGCCCACCAAGGCGACGAUCAGUAGCUGGUCUGAGAGGAUGAUCAGCCACACUGGGACUGAGACACGGUCCAGACUCCUACGGGAGGCAGCAGUGAGGAAUAUUGCGCAAUGGGCGAAAGCCUGACGCAGCGACGCCGCGUGGGGGAUGAAGGCC